AUUGAACGCUGGCGGCAUGCCUAACACAUGCAAGUCGAACGGUAGCAGGUUAAGCUGACGUGUGUCGAACGGGGGAGUGAUGUAUCAGUACGAGGUCAGUCGCUGGGGAUAACUGCUCGAAUGAGCAGCGAAGACCGCAUACGACCUGAGGGUUAAGGCGGAGAGGCGGGGAUCAUCGGACCUUUGGAUCUUCCGUGAUCCGAUUAGGUAGUUGGGGGGGUAAAGGCUAACCAAGUCGACGAUCGGUAGCUGGUCUGAGAGGAUGACCAGCCACACUGGAACUGAGACACGGCCCAGACUCCUACGGGAGGCAGCAGUGGGGAAUUUUGGACAAUGGGCGAAAGCCUGAUCCAGCCAUGCCGCGUGCGUGAAGAAGGCCUUCGGAUUGUAAAGCGCUUUUAUUAGGGAAGAAAAGGUUUAGGCUAAUACCUGGCUCUCUUGACGGUACCUAAAGAAUAAGCACCGGCUAACUACGUG
rnacentral:rRNA from 1 species